CUUGAUUUGCCAAAACCCCGAGCUUUUGGAGCCAAGGCACCGGCAGGGCAGGGCACGGGGUGCCCCUUGGUGGGUGGACACAAAGGCUUGUUGGUGGUGUCUCUUUUACCAGGUGAAUGAAGAAGAUGCUUUAGAGGAGAGUUUUUCUUCCAGAAACAAGAAAUGAGAGCUUGUCUGUGAAAUUUCAGUUCUGAAGAAGACUUUCAGGGGUGGAUGUGCUCCCGGGUGAGGCUGGCACUUUGGAAUAUCCUCUUGCAGAAAUUUUGCCUGGAGCUUUCAGGGCGCAGCACGUCUGGUAUCAUAGUGCUGGAAGGUGCCUACAAUUUCUGUAUUUUAGGGGGUUUUUUUGCAGCGUGUUUGAUUUUUAGUUAGAUCUGGUUGCAUGGACCAGAUCCAGCAUCCAUGGAUCUGGAUGCUAUAAGAGCAUCUGUAUAAAACAGUAUUUUCUCCCCACUUCAAAAGCAGGUCUGUCCUCACUGGGGAUUGAUUUGGCAUUUACUUUCACAUACAGGUUUCUAACAGAGUUCCAAACAAAAAAUUGUCCUUUUGUACAAUUAUUUGACUUGCUGUUUCAGUGACAGAGCGGGGUGGGGGCGAACCUGCUGUGUAAAAUGGCCCCAGGAUUCCUCCCUGAGUGUCUUUAAAUCAUAUUUGCUUAUUUUAGUCAACAAAGUGUUUUCAUUGUCCACAUCCUUGUGGAGGGAGUUGGACUCUGUGGUGCCUCGUGCCUUAGCAACAAAAAUUAAAUUCCAGUGUCAGGGAGUUUGUUCCACGGGCCGGUGUGUGCAGGGACCUGGCCUGACCCGGGGGCUCCAAGAGGGAAUAAACCCUACAUUUUGGAAGUUUGCACAGGGAAUGGCCUCCUCAGCCAAAGUAGGGAUUGGAGCUGGAUUUCUGCUAGGAAUGAGAUUUAUACCUUCGUCUUGAUAAAGGAUAAUGAUUUGCUAACCCUGGGUAAGAGAUGCCUUUAGAAAAACGGGCUUCACGUGAUGCAUAAAACCUUUGGUUGCUCCCACCUCGUCGUCCCUUAAAGUGAAAGGAGUUGGGAUGGACAAUGGGAGCUGCUCCGUGGCAGUGAGAGAAACCAGAGCAGGUUCUCUCUGCUCCAGGGUUUGUUUCCUCUCCUCCCCUUUGGUCACCUUCGUGCCGAUUCAGAAAAGCUUUCUGGUUUCUACAGCUGCCUUUAUCAAGUCAAUGGGAGAGUCCUGCACCACGGGAUAAAUGGGAAGGUGAAGGUUGGGGACAGGGUGUGAUCUGAGGGACAUCGGGGCCGAGCUGAUGCAGAUCCUACAGCUGGAACCCAGCCCCUGCCCCCUUCACAGCAGAAAGGUGCUUAAUGAAGCCAUUAGUGGACACUAACGAGAGGGAGGAGGCGGCGUUUGGCCGUGGGGCGUCGCAGGCAGCGGUGCCUCAGAGGUGCACGUGGCUGCUGCUGCUUCUUACAUUUUUUUUCUACAACUUUAAUAAAGUAUCUCUGAUGAUGUAGCACAAAUGUGUGCCAUCGGCCGUGCCCCAGCUUGGAUGACAUUCGGGACUGGAACAUCUCAUUUCGUGGCAGUUUUGGCUGGUUUUACCAGGGUUUCAUACAUUUUUGUUGCUGGUAGAGAGUCACUAGCAGGAACUUUGACUCUUUUUAAUGGGUGUAGCCGCACACAAGGGCCUGGCUGCUGGCAGAUGAUACCCAUGGCCUUGUGGUUUUAAAUGACUGUGGUGAUUUGUUUCAUGGUUUGGUGGGUUUUUUUUAUUAUUACGAUUAAUGUAUUGAACUGAAUUACGAUUUGUAUUUUGUGUUCAGCUUGUCUUAGAAGUAAUCCAGUGCUGUCCAGUUGAUUUAAUCACCAGGAAUUGGCCUGUGUCUGUACAAAGAUGGAGAAAUCUCAUCGUAACGAGUUCCCCCAAAGCUGUGGCCACCCCCGUGCGCCAUCGAAAGGUUGGGGGGUAACCUUUGAGAAAGAAUUAAACAAAUUAGUUUCCUCUCCCCUUAAGGAUCAGCAUAGUUUGAAGCACGCAGAGGACUCCUUUGUGGGGUGAAGGAUAUUCUGGAUUCCACCCCGAGCAGCAAGAAUGGCCACUGGUGCCUCGUGCCACCUUCUGACUGCAACAGGCAGGAGGAGUGAGAAGAGCAGAGCUUGGGGAAGGGCUUCAGCUGCAUCACAAACCAUCUGUGAGCUCUCCAGGGUCUCCAAGGUACUGGAUAGGGAGGAGGGAUGGAAUUUCAGGAAUCAGCUGGUAAGCUAGAACAAGAAAUAAUUAGUCACUCUCCAGUAGCCAGUUGAGCGGUCAUGGGUAAGAAAGUCAGUAUAUGUUUUUUAUUAUGUACAUGCUUUUGUAUUUAUGUUGUCUUUCUUGGAUAUUCAGAUGAAUCAAGUAUUUAAUUUUUAACAGAAAGGGCAAUUAAGGAUUCAGAGUAUUAAGUCUUUCAUGUGUUCCUUUCUGGCACUUGCCAGAAGUGAGGCAGUUACUGAUGGGAGAAGGAGAGACGCCUCGGAACUGAGCAGCAAACCCUGGCAAAUAAAUGGGAACAAGGACUUCUCCAGCAGGAGCCUUUGCCCAAGGGGCUCUUCUGUCCUUCAGCAACAAGUCAGGGUCCAGGACGGGGCCUUCUUCAGCUCCUUUUGGAUUUAUGAGGCUUUAAAAAGACCACGUUACUCCAGAAAUGGUUUGGUUCAUCUUAGGUGUGCUCCAGUCCGUGGCUACUGGAGAGGCCUCCCCCAGUCUCUGCUGCUGAGAUGCAUCUGGUUCCCUCUCCCGAUGGAGUUUCUCCGCUCUGGACUGAACUGUUCCCCUUUGAUAGAUAAUUAUGAGCAUGUUUGCAUUAGUGUUUAGAUCUCCUUAACCUGAGAUUGUAUGUUAAUGACCGGUGAUGUCACCUACCUGCUUUAGCUUGUUAAGCAUUAUCCACCUAUUUUGUUACUAAAGGCCUGUCCUAUGUACGCCCUCUUAUUUCAUAUGUGAAACUGUAAGUUCUAUUUUUGACAUUUUAAUAAACUUUGAUUUGAAAACUGA